rnacentral:lncRNA from 1 species
GGGCUGUUUUGAUCCGCUACAAUGGAUCAAAAGCAUAUCCAAACCGCGUUGCACGCGAGUCCUUUGCAAGGGGAUUUCUAUCCCCUUUUUGCCUUCCCUUUCCUCUUCCAACGACCAUUGGACCAAUGUGUGUGUGAUCAUUAACAAAUGACACCCUCAGGAUGGUAAGAAGGCUUCUUCGAUUACCUCCCUCUUCAUGAACAACCAUUUGAUCUUUUGAAGCUCUCGGGCUUUACUUCUCGUGAAUGGUGUUGACACAUAAUUUUGUCCUUCGAAAAAUUAUUUUUAUCUUAUCCUAUUGUAUACCCUAAAUCAUGUGAUAAUUUCUCCACUAGAAGAAAAAAUAACAAACCCCCAACAAACCCAAUCUCCAAUAUUCUUUUGAUAACAAAAUUAACCACUCUCCUCAAUAAAAUUUUGACACCUCACACUCCUACCCCACCCCUACCCACGUGACCCCCAUAACUACACUUUCUUUACAUAUUUUUGCAAUUUUGCAUUCGGAUACACACACUGAUUUGGGGAAUAUAUACACACAGACACACUACAAUUCACAGAGGAAACACUACAUUUACUCCCAAUAUUUCUCCAUUGAAUAACAAUAUAUACAUACAACUACACCUCAAUAAUAAUUACACACACAAUACAUAUCCUCCCACAAAACACAAUACACACACCAUACACGACACUCCACAUACAGUGAAUUACCGACCAUACACCCACAGACCAUCAGAAACACUCAACACACACACAAGGAAAAAUGACAGAAAAUAGAGAAAUAACAAAAAAUAGAGAAAAACUAAUCGAAAAAUAAAGAAAAUCUGGUGGUUUAAGAAAAAUCGAGAGAAAGGGAGAAAAUCCAAUACAUGUUGACUGAAUUCGGCAACUUUAUUGCCAGAAAUCCACCGUAUUUUCCACCAGGAAAUGUCGCCGGUGGUACUCACUCCUGUUUCCGCAAAACCCGCUGGCAGAUAGUGUCACCAGCUCCCUUUUUGUCAAAAAUUGAUUUGAAUUCGUGUUAGUAUUAGUGUUUUGUUUAGGAUUUGGGUAUUGUUGUUUUGGACUAGUCAUAUUAUUUUUGGAUUUGUGAUUAAAUCGAAUUUUGGGUUGCGGUUUUGAAUAUCGAGUUGGUUGGUUGUUAGUAUUCUUUGUGGAUUUAUGUUCUAAUAAAAUUUUGGGGUUGCAGUUUUCGAUAUUGAUUUGUCUUUAGUCUUUGUUUAGGUAUUCUAUUU